UACAGAGGGUGCGAGCGUUAAUCGGAAUUACUGGGCGUAAAGCGUGCGUAGACGGUUAUUUAAGUCGGGUGUGAAAGCCCCGGGCUCAACCUGGGAAUUGCAUUCGAGACUGAAUAGCUAGGGUACGGUAGAGGGAAGUGGAAUUUCCGGUGUAGCGGUGAAAUGCGUAGAUAUCAGGAGGAACACCCAUGGCGAAGGCAGCAAACUGGUCAUCAACUGACGCUGAGGCGCGAAAGCGUGGGUAGCAAACAGG
rnacentral:rRNA from 1 species